ACUCCUACGGGAGGCAGCAGUGGGGAAUAUUGGACAAUGGGCGAAAGCCUGAUCCAGCCAUGCCGCGUGUGUGAAGAAGGCCCUCGGGUUGUAAAGCACUUUCAGUGAGGAAGAAUGCUUGUGGGUUAAUACCCUGCAAGAGAGACAUCACUCACAGAAGAAGCACCGGCUAACUCCGUGCCAGCAGCCGCGGUAAUACGGAGGGUGCGAGCGUUAAUCGGAAUUACUGGGCGUAAAGCGCGCGUAGGCGGCUUGAUAAGCCGGUUGUGAAAGCCCCGGGCUCAACCUGGGAACGGCAUCCGGAACUGUCAGGCUAGAGUGCAGGAGAGGAAGGUAGAAUUCCCGGUGUAGCGGUGAAAUGCGUAGAGAUCGGGAGGAAUACCAGUGGCGAAGGCGGCCUUCUGGACUGACACUGACGCUGAGGUGCGAAAGCGUGGGUAGCAAACAGGAUUAGAUACCCUGGUAGCUACGAGU
rnacentral:rRNA from 1 species